UUCUCUCCUGUCCUGAGCCAAUAGCUUUUCAAUUCUGCGAAAAUAGCAAAAUUAGGGUUUUAAUUCUAGUUCAAAUUAGACGAAGCCCACGGUAAAUUGCCAAGCCCUAAUCCCUAAUUUUUUCUCUAAAUUGAUUAUUGCUUCAGGAGCAUUUUCAAUUGGAGAGCAGACGAGAUUCGUGCUCCGCAGAAUCAUAAUUUACCUAUUGGAUUUCUCUCCGCUUGAUCGAGAAAUAAUGCUCUACUCAUGUACUGGGUGCUAAUUGAUGGAUUCAGAUAGCAAGAACUUCGGAAGAGGGCCAAGAGAACUUACAGGUGCUCGUGACCUUAUUAGUCAUUUCAAGUUGUUGCCUCAUUAUGAGUUCUUCUGCAAGAGGUCACUUCCAUUAUCAAUUUCAGAUACACAUUAUCUUCACAAUGUGGUUGGAGAUAGAGAAAUUAGGAAAGGGGAGGGGAUGCAGUUGGAUCAGCUCACACAGGACACUUCAUUUUCUAGAGAGAUAAAAUCAUGCAUCCGGCCCUUUGACUUAGAUGUCCUUAGAGAAGCCUUCCAACUACGUGAAACGGCUCCAGUCGAUUUGUCUCCUUCUGAGAAAGGCAUCCCUACUAUAGCUGGAAAAUCUAAAAGUGAGAUGAAAGACAAGGAGAAGAAGCAUAAAAAGCACAAGGAUAAAGACAAGGAGAAGGACAAAGAGCACAAGAAGCACAAACAUCGUCAUAAAGAUCGGAGUAAAGAGAAAAAGAAAGAUAAAAGUGGCCACCAUGACCCUGGUGCUGAGCAUUCGAAGAAACACGAGAAGAAAAGGAAGCAUGACGAGGAGGAUCUUAACGGUGUCCACAAACACAAGAAAAGCAAGAAUAUGUGUUGAGGGUGCUUGGGUGCUCCCUCAAACUCCUUUCAAUCAGUUGGAUAUGUGAUCAUGGAAGUGUUUUAGAAUCGCUGUCCUUGACAAUGUCUAUCUGUGUCGUAAGAUGAGCAUAAGAUGUAAACUUUUGCUAUGAUGUUCUGAAUGUGCUCUGGAGAAUAGAGGUGAAACUGGCCAAGGCUAGAUGAAAAGGAUGGGAGUUUAAGCCUUGCUGGAGCACAGGUGAAUCAGUAAACAAGAAAAGCAUCAGAAGCAAUCAAAUGAUAUGCCAAACACAGAGAAUAGCCUCUGGACUAAUUAAAGAUUGACAAGAAGGUGUGGAUUUACUGCAAGGUAGAAGGUCAUGGAAAGAAACCUCCUUGUAUCAGAUAUUAGGGCUUGCAUAUAAUCGCCAAUGACGGUGAGAACCUCGAUUCUCGUCAGUCUUAACAACUUGAUGCAUGGUAUUGUAUUAUUGUAUGUAGUGCUCUGUUCUCUAGGCUUAGACUUGACUAUUUGGAGCUUUGGCUAAUAAGAAGAGAAGGUUGAAAUUUGUGCUGGUCUGGGCUUCUGUCAUUUGUCGUCUCCAUUGAGCUUGAAGUUGACUCCUCGUCAGCAUUAAGCAUCCACAGACAAAGGGGGUAUGUUAAUGAGGAUGUGGCUAUAUGUAUUACAUGACAAAUUCUGAUUGUUAGGAAUGGAAUUUCUUCUUGUAUGUUACUAGGAUUUUAUGAGAUGAAGUAACUCUCUCCUAGAUGAAAGUAUGAAACCAAUGUCAAUGUUUCAUGCAUUUAUUUUAGCAGCAUUGGGACUUCAAAGAGCUACAUUAAUGUUCCUAGUGAUCAAGGUGUAAAGUUGUGACACUUCUGUUCAAACCCUGGACUAAAAUAUAGCCCUCCUGCAAUGUAUGACUUAGUUAUAAAGUUGAACAUUUGUUUA